rnacentral:lncRNA from 10 species
CACCGCUGCAAGAGGGGAAGUUGCUACUGUGAUGAAUUCUGCCAUGUGGCACCAGACUGCCACCCAGACCACAGUGUCCUCUGCAACCCUGCUUCUCAGAUGACCAAGAUGGUGCUGCAGAUGGUGCUGAGGAUGGAGAACCCACCAAGCCCCGCUAGGAGCCACCUAGACUGGAUGCAGAGCAUGUUCUAUGCUCCCUCUAAACCUCGAGUGGAGAGGCCGGGCGUGGUGGCUCACACCUGUAAUCCCAGCAUUUUGGGAGGCUGAGGUGGGUGGAUCACCUGAGGUCAGGAGUUCGAGACCAGCCUGACCAACAUGGAGAAACCCCGUCUCUACUAAAAAUACAAAAUUAGCCGGGGGUGGUAGCAGGUGCCUGUAAUCCCAGCUACUCGGGAGGCUGAGGCAGGAGAAUUGCUUGAACCUGGGAGGUGGAGUUUGCAGUGAGCUGAGAUCGCACCCUUGCGCUCUGGCCUGGGCAACAAAAGUGAAACUAUGUUUCAAAAAAAAAAAA